rnacentral:rRNA from 1 species
UGGAUGAUGUGGAUUAAUUCGAUGCAACGCGAGAACCUUACCUACCCUUGACAUGUCCGGAACUUGCCAGAGAUGGCUUGGUGCCCGAAAGGGAAUCGGAACACAGGUGCUGCAUGGCUGUCGUCAGCUCGUGUCGUGAGAUGUUGGGUUAAGUCCCACAACGAGCGCAACCCUUAUCAUUAGUUGCUACGCAAGGGCACUCUAAUGAGACUGCCGGUGACAAACCGGAGGAAGGUGGGGAUGACGUCAAGUCCUCAUGGCCCUUAUGGGUAGGGCUUCACACGUCAUACAAUGGUCGGUACAGAGGUUGCCAAGCCGCGAGGCGGAGCCAAUCCCACAAAGCCGAUCGUAGUCCGGAUUGUUCUCUGCAACUCGAGAGCAUGAAGUCGGAAUCGCUAGUAAUCGUGGAUCAGCAUGUCACGGUGAAUACGUUCCCGGGUCUU